CACCAGUUUUAAACUGUUCUAGUACUCUGGACACUCUAUCUAAUCAUCAAUAAGUCCUUCGAUUCACUCAAGAAUAUAUCAACCAUCCACCAUUCAAAAGAAUGCUUCAAAACAUACCAUGUUUUAGAAAGAAAUGGAUCCACCAUUGUCAAAUUAAGGGUGUGUUUGGUUCAUGGGGUUAGCCACAAGGAAUGGGAAUGAAAGUCAUGAAAAUUGUUUGGUUGACAAUUUUUUAAAACACAGGAUAUGAUUACAGAUUAUCUGUAUAAUUACAAAACCCAUUACCUAAUUUAAAUCAGGUAUCAUUCCAUUAAUUCAACCUUAUCCCUCCUCAUUUCAUCGCCUCCUCAUUUCGUCGCCUCCUCACUCAUCUCUCCCCACUUCAUCGACUUCCUCGCUUCAUCUCAUACUCACU